ACCAACUGCAACCUUUCAGUAUCUACUUGUAUUACAUAUUCACAAUGAAUGUGACAGCCGUCCUUGCUUCUCUCCUGCUUGCUGCCGUAGCCAUGUUUCAAAGAGCUAGUGGGCACCAUCACCAUGGACAUCAUCACCAUGGACACCACCAUCAUGGACACCACCACGGGCACCACCACGGAAAAUAGAUACGUUUGGGGACAAUGAAGAAUUUUGAUGCAUCUCACGAUGUGUGAG